CAUGGCUGGCAGUCAUGGCUUCCUCGCUGUGGUUCCAGCAAGGCCAGCAACUUCGGCUCUUGGGCCGAGGGAAGGCUGUGGAGGCUUUCUUUGGCAUCUGCAGAGACGGUGAGCAGCAGACCUGCUUAGAAGUAACGAAUGGAAGUCUGAAAUAGAAUAAAGAUGUAGGCUGUGGGCUUUGAAAAAGUCACAAGAAAGCCGUCAUCCAGGGAUGUAAGGAUCCUUGUGAUGAGAUAAAUGGUACAGCUUCAGUUUGAGGCCGAAAAGGAUACUCCAGAAAAAGACACUGGCUGCAGUGCUGUGGUGGCUGCCCUGGACCCGACGUGGAAUUUCUCUCGUGUCCACAGCGUGUGUAACAGGACCGACCUGCUUUACCUAAAGCAAGUGAAACCGUUCCUCUCGCGUUGUUUGUAACGUAAGCUGUUUUUAUCUUACGUGUCCGAAAGAAUCCCCGCAAGCCUGUGAUGUUCUGCCGCAGGUGAACCAUGGCCCUUGGCAGUGAGAGCACCGAGUCCUAACCAUUGGACCACCAGGGGAUUCCCUGAACCUGUAUGUUUGACUUCAGAGGGCGUCUGAAUAUAAAUGCCCCCAGCACUUGGUGGGUGCUCUUUACUGGGCCCUUGCACCGUCUCCUGGAAAGAGGCAUUUGGGACCCACUAGCCUGCCUUACACACAAACACACAGGAAAAUGAUCGAUGGCUUAGAAUGAGUUCCUUCAGGAUUGCCUCUUGUAAAUUAAGGUAUAACUAAGAACAUGUGCAAUACCACACACAGAAUUUAGAUGAUCUUGGUGCAGUGGGGGGACUGCAGUGAUUGUAAAAUGAAACUUGCAUGUACACGCUCUGUUGAAGACUAAGGGGAAACAGGUGUUGAGCCUAAAAAAACAUUUCUCAGUGGGUUUCUACAGUGUCUUGGGCUUAACUUUAAAGCAAAUUAAAACAUUUAAAAGU
rnacentral:misc_RNA from 1 species